rnacentral:rRNA from 1 species
UACGUAGGGUGCGAGCGUUGUCCGGAAUUAUUGGGCGUAAAGGGCUCGUAGGCGGUUUGUCGCGUCGGGAGUGAAAACUCAGGGCUUAACCCUGAGCCUGCUUCCGAUACGGGCAGACUAGAGGUAUGGCAGGGGAGAACGGAAUUCUCGGUGUAGCGGUGAAAUGCGUAGAUAUCGAGAGGAACACCUGCGGCGAAGGCGGGUUGCUGGGCUGACACUGACGCUGAACUGCGAAAGCUAGGGGAGCGAACGGG